AAGGUAAUAGCUCAGUGGUAGAGCAUGUGCUUAGCAUGCACAAGGUCCUGGGUUCAAUCCCCAGUACCUCC
rnacentral:tRNA from 1 species